rnacentral:rRNA from 1 species
CCUACGGGAGGCAGCAGUGAGGAAUAUUGGUCAAUGGCCGGAAGGCUGAACCAGCCAUGCCGCGUGAAGGUCAGUGCCCUAUGGGCGUUAAACUUCUUUUGUGCGGGAGCAAUAAUGGUCACGUGUGGCCAGACGAGAGUACCGUACGAAUAAGCAUCGGCUAACUCCGAGCCAGCAGCCGCGGUAAUACGGGGGAUGCAAGCGUUAGCCGGAUUUAGUGGGUUGAAAGGGUGCGUAGGCUGGGAGGUAAGUCAGCGGUGAAAUGCCCCCGCUCAACGGGGUGAAGUGCCAUUGAUACUGCCUGGCUGGAAUGCGGAUGCGGUGGGAGGAAUGUGUGGUGUAGCGGUGAAAUGCAUAGAUAUCACACAGAACACCGAUUGCGAAGGCAUCUCUCGAAUCCGCGAUUGACGCUGAUGCACGAAAGCGUGGGUAUCAAACAGGAUUAGAUACCCUAGUAGUC